ensembl:miRNA mir-248 ncRNA
UUUCCCGGCUGCAACUACGGUAAGCGGUAUCCAGCCGAUGUUUUCAAUACUGCAUUUGAAUACACGUGCACGGAUAACGCUCAUUGUUUUUCGCAUGC